rnacentral:lncRNA from 1 species
AUAUUUAAAUUAUUUAAAUUAUUUAAAUAUUUAUAUCAAAAUUAUUUAUAUGGUGUCUUAAAUUAUGUUCGACACCAAACACAUAUGCAAAUUAUCAAAAUUGGUCUUCAACAUAGUUAAAUGGCAAUUAAUUGCCGUAGUAAUUGAAAGGGAACGAAUGACUUUGGCAAAAAGAGCUAUCAACUCAUAUUUAAUGAGUUUUUUUUCCUGUACUAAGGUGGAUUGAAAUUUUUAUUCCUAAAUUAGGGUUCUUUUAAACUUUUUUCUCUAAGUGGGAUAUUUAAACCACGUCAUCAUUAUAUCACUCCUUAGAUGGGUAAAAUUUCCAAAUCGACUGAAUUUUUCUUCUCAAUAAAAUUGCAUUUAAAGCAUUCAGCUCUGUCUUCAAAUCAUACAGAAGAUUUUUCUCUUUCUCUUUGAACCAACAUAUUAACAAUCAUAAAUAGGUUUUUUUACAUACGCUCGAUAUGUGACUUGUAGUUGAUACCGCUGAAAGUAUGAACUAGGGGUAGUUUUAAACAAUGAGGCAGCAGAUACCGGCAUAGGCGUGGCUUCCCUGAGUACUGGAAGCUGAUAUUUUUUCCCCUAUUUCUUAUACUUUGUGUUUCUUUGCUCUUCGUCUCACUCAUCUCAGCCAUAAGCUCUACAUCUUGUUAAGAAUCAUCAAUUCUUAUAAAUGCUACCACUUGGUUUUCGUUAUUGACAGCUGUAGCUUCAAUUAAAAAGGUUGUUACAUAUGACUAAUUUUCCAACCUUUUGUUUUUAUAUGUUUGUCAGCUUAGUUAAAAAUGUGUGUAGCUGCAUCUGUAAUAUUGUACUAUGAGUGUUGUGUGAAAAACACCUUGUAACUAUUGUGUAAGUGUUGCGGGGAGUCUCUCUUGAGCGCUAGAAGCUUUUUUUGUAUGUACUAAGGGUAUUGUCUUCGCAAUGUUUGAUAAAAUGGCUAAAUGAAUGUAUAGCACAUUAUAUUUGCAGUUUACUAAUAUGCUCAAUGUUGAGAAUUGUGUUAUUUUUUGAAACCAUAUAAAAUAUGUAAAGUUAACAAAGAUCAAGACUAACCAACAUAAAAUAUCUCAUAGUAGUGGUAUUGAGGCUUCCUUUUUAAGGGAUUUUACUUCAAAGAGUAGAAUCAAAAUCCUUUUCUAAUAAAACAAUUGCUUCAAAACUUGUUAUCAAUAUUUGAGCAUAAACUUCAGAACUUGCGUUUAUACGGGUAGUCUGCUCAAAUCUCCCAACAUGUUUCAAUUCACCAUACUUCAAUUAUAGUCUCACUGAAUUGAGUUUAAAUAUCGCUGCCUCCAUUCUUCCCUUUUUUAGCAUUUGCAAUUUGAAAUUGAACCAAAAAAUUAUUAAAA